AUAGAUUUAGGUCCUCGCCCCACGGCCACCAAGCAACGCUUGACAAACACUUCCGUCCCGAUGCACACAACAUGCGCUUUCAUAACGGGGAAAACGGCGGAGAGAGAGAGGGGAAAAAAAACAACAACAAUCCAUUUGAAAGAAGGGAUGAGGGGAGAAGGCGGACAGAUGACAGUAGAACAGUGACUGGCAGACGAGACGAGAUCAGAUAGAUGGAGUCGUGUUGAGGAUCAUGCAGAUCCAAUCAUUAAAGCGAGAUAAGAUGCCCAGCAGGUGUGUCGGCUCGUCAGUUAUUGGGAACACCUGGGACCGGUGUUCCCAGUGCUAUGAGAGCACGUCCCACUGAUUCAUUGACAGAUUCUGAAAGAGAGAGAAAGGGGACACUUUGCUCUCUCCGCUCGCGCCAUGCUCAUCCUGGCGUACUUUUCACGAUACAACACCCCACUUACUGACCUAGCAUGCAUGCAUACACGGCACGCUAACACUACUGAUUCACUGACUGCCACAUCUCACCAUAGUUUUGCCUGUUAGUGUCCUCGUUAGUCGCUAAUAAAUUAACAGAUAAUGUUUUAAAUGGUUUUAAA
rnacentral:lncRNA from 1 species